UCCAGACUCCUACGGGAGGCAGCAGUGGGGAAUAUUGCACAAUGGGGGGAACCCUGAUGCAGCGACGCCGCGUGGGUGAAGGAGUAUUUCGGUAUGUAAAGCCCUAUCAGCAGGGAAGAACAAUGACGGUACCUGACUAAGAAGCACCGGCUAAAUACGUGCCAGCAGCCGCGGUAAUACGGAGGAUGCGAGCGUUAUCCGGAUUUAUUGGGUUUAAAGGGUGCGUAGGCGGACAGUCAAGUCAGCGGUAAAAAUGCGGUGCUCAACGCCGUACAGCCGUUGAAACUGGCAGUCUUGAGUGGGCGAGAAGUAUGCGGAAUGCGUGGUGUAGCGGUGAAAUGCAUAGAUAUCACGCAGAACUCCGAUUGCGAAGGCAGCAUACCGGCGCCCGACUGACGCUGAGGCACGAAAGCGUGGGUAUCGAACAGGAUUAGAUGCCCUCGUA
rnacentral:rRNA from 1 species